rnacentral:misc_RNA from 1 species
GAUGAAGAACGCAGCGAAAUGCGAUAAGUAAUGUGAAUUGCAGAAUUCAGUGAAUCAUCGAAUCUUUGAACGCACAUUGCGCCCGCCAGUAUUCUGGCGGGCAUGCCUGUUCGAGCGUCAUUACAACCCUCAGGCCCCCGGGCCUGGCGUUGGGGAUCGGCGGAGCCCCCCGUGGGCACACGCCGUCCCCUAAAUCUAGUGGCGGUCUCGCUGUAGCUUCCUCUGCGUAGUAGCACACCUCGCACUGGGAAACAGCGCGGCCACGCCGUUAAACCCCCAACUUCUGAACGUUUGACCUCGGAUCAGGUAGGAAUACCCGCUGAACUUAAGCAUAUCAAUAAGCGGAGGA